CGCUAGCUACAUGCUUAACACAUGCAAGUCGAGGGGCAGCGAGAGGAAAGCUUGCUUUCCUUGUCGGCGACCGGCGCACGGGUGAGUAACGCGUAUCCAACCUUCCCCUUAGUAGGGCAUAGCCCGGCGAAAGUCGGAUUAAUACCCUAUGUUCUUCGUAGAGGACAUCUGAAAUGAAGCAAAGACUUGUCGCUAAGGGAUGGGGAUGCGUCUGAUUAGGUAGUCGGCGGGGUAACGGCCCACCGAGCCUGCGAUCAGUAGGGGUUCUGAGAGGAAGGUCCCCCACAUUGGAACUGAGACACGGUCCAAACUCCUACGGGAGGCAGCAGUGAGGAAUAUUGGUCAAUGGGCGCGAGCCUGAACCAGCCAAGUAGCGUGCAGGAUGACGGCCCUGUGGGUUGUAAACUGCUUUUAUGCGGGGAUAAAGUGCACCACGUGUGGUGUUUUGUAGGUACCGCAUGAAUAAGGACCGGCUAAUUCCGUGCCAGCAGCCGCGGUAAUACGGAAGGUCCGGGCGUUAUCCGGAUUUAUUGGGUUUAAAGGGAGCGCAGGCUGAUUGUUAAGCGUGACGUGAAAUGUAGCCGCUCAACGGCUGAACUGCGUCGCGAACUGGCAGUCUUGAGUGAGUACGACGUCAGCGGAAUUCGUGGUGUAGCGGUGAAAUGCUUAGAUAUCACGAAGAACUCCGAUUG
rnacentral:rRNA from 1 species